UCAAAUGCUAUCCUCUUUCCUAAUUU
rnacentral:misc_RNA from 1 species